rnacentral:rRNA from 1 species
UGAGGAAUUUUCCGCAAUGGGCGAAAGCCUGACGGAGCAAUGCCGCGUGAAGGAUGACGGCCUGUGGGUUGUAAACUUCUUUUCUCAGAGAAGACAUCCGACGGUAUCUGAGGAAUAAGCAUCGGCUAACUCUGUGCCAGCAGCCGCGGUAAUACAGAGGAUGCGAGCGUUAUCCGGAAUUAUUGGGCGUAAAGCGUCUGUAGGUGGUCUUUUAAGUCAACUGUUAAAGCCCAAGGCUUAACCUUGGAAAAGCAGUCGAAACUGAAAGACUGGAGUUCGGUAGAGGUAGAGGGAAUUUCCGGUGUAGUGGUGAAAUGCGUAGAUAUCGGAAAGAACACCAAUGGCGAAAGCACUCUGCUGGGCCGAUACUGACACUGAGAGACGAAAGCUAGGGGAGCGAAUGGGAUUAGAUACCCCCGUAGUCC